rnacentral:rRNA from 1 species
AACGAACGCUGGCGGCAGGCUUAACACAUGCAAGUCGAGCGCCCCGCAAGGGGAGCGGCAGACGGGUGAGUAACGCGUGGGAAUCUACCCAUCUCUACGGAAUAACGCAUGGAAACGUGUGCUAAUACCGUAUACGUCCUUCGGGAGAAAGAUUUAUCGGAGAUGGAUGAGCCCGCGUUGGAUUAGCUGGUUGGUGGGGUAGAGGCCUACCAAGGCGACGAUCCAUGGCUGGUCUGAGAGGAUGAUCAGCCACACUGGGACUGAGACACGGCCCGGGUUCCUACGGGGGCCAGCAGUGCGGAAUGUUGGACAAAGGACGCAAGACUGACCCAGACAGGCCGGGGGAGUGAUGAGUGCCCUACGAUUGUAAAGAUCUUUCACCGGGGAAGAUAAUUACGGAAACCGGAGAGGAAGCCCUGGCUAACUUCGUGCCAGCAGCCACCCUAACAC